GUGCCAGCCGCCGCGGUAAUACAGAGGGUGCAAGCGUUGUUCGGAAUUAUUGGGCGUAAAGCGCGUGUAGGCGGCUUUGCAAGUCUGGUGUGAAAUCCCUCGGCUUAACCGAGGAAGUGCGCCAGAAACUGCAGAGCUUGAGUACCGGAGAGGAUGGUGGAAUUCCCCAAGUAGAGGUGAAAUUCGUAGAUAUGGGGAGGAACACCGGUGGCGAAGGCGACCAUCUGGACGGAUACUGACGCUGAGACGCGAAAGCGUGGGGAGCAAACAGGAUUAGAAACCCCAGUAGUCC
rnacentral:rRNA from 1 species